rnacentral:rRNA from 1 species
CGGACCCUUAUAAGCGGCGGACUGGUGAGUAACGCGUGGGUGACCUACCUUAAGGAUGGGGAUAGAUCGCUAGAAAUAGAGGGUAAUACCGAAUAAUGUUACCUGGUUUUGACUGGGUAAAGAAAGGGGCUAUGGCCCCGCCUAUAGAUGGGCCCGCGUUCCAUUAGCUAGUUGGUGAGGUAAAAGGCCCACCAAGGCGAUGAUGGGUAGCACGGACUGAGAGGGUGAACUGGACACACUGGGACUGAGAUACAGGACCAAACUCCUACGGGAGGCAAGCAGCUAAGAAUAUUCCGCAAUGGAGUGGAACUCUGACGUGAGCAGACGCCGCGUGGGUAGAGGAAGUGCCGAAAGUGUUGUAAAACCCUUUUAUCGCUGAAGAAUAAGGCUGGACAGGGAAUGCCCUAGUGAUGACGUUAGUCCACAGAAUAAGCACCCGGCUAAUUACUGUG